rnacentral:rRNA from 1 species
UACGUAGGGUGCAAGCGUUUGUCCGGAAUUAUUGGGCGUAAAGAGCUCGUAGGCGGCCUGUCGCGUCGGCUGUGAAAACCCGAGGCUCAACCUCGGGCCUGCAGUCGAUACGGGCAGGCUAGAGUUCGGUAGGGGAGACUGGAAUUCCUGGUGUAGCGGUGAAAAUGCGCAGAUAUCAGGAGGAACACCGGUGGCGAAGGCGGGUCUCUGGGCCGAUACUGACGCUGAGGAGCGAAAGCGUGGGGAGCGAACAGG